CAGCACACAGUUCCCGCGUCAAAACACCCAUCCCGAGAGUAGGAUGGGAACUUGCUGUUUAGUGCGGAUCUUCCAAAAUCGAAAUUUUAACAUCCACCGGAGACAAGAAGGUAUUCUUAUUGAUAGGCAUCUGAAUAUAUUACUUUACCAUUUCUGCAAUGAUACCCAAGAAACCACAUUUAUUUUGAAGAAUAAGUUUAAGUACCCUAAGCCUUGUACUUUUUGAAACAAAGUAAAUUAGAGGUGUAUUAGCCACAGAGCAUCUUCUGUCCUGUGGUGAACAAGAUGUCACCUCGACGGAAACGGCGAACAGCAGAGCUAGGCAUGAGCGGGAAGGCGCCAUGGAAGCAGUUUGUUGCCAGAUCGUUCCUGCCAGGACCCAGGCACGCCAGCGCUUUCUGGCACUGGCUUGCGGUGCGGGCACACACAGCCGCCAGCUGGCACUCGCGGGCCUCAGAUAAGGAUUGCUCAGACAUGGCACUCGUUCAAAAAGUUUGCACGUCCCCGAACCCCCAUGUUGCAGGCGAGGAUGGGAUGUUCCUGUGAACCUGGCUCUUUUUUCCUCGGAAACUCCCCUGCAGUGGAGAAAUAGUAUCGUCAAAGAGCAAUCGCUCCAUAAGCGGGGAAGCGCCACGCAGGCGAGCAUCUUCAACUACAGUCUCACUCCUUGCGGAGAUUACUGCGCAAAAAAGGCAACGUUGGCGCCGGGGUUAGUGCUAAAACUAGCUACAUCAUUACGUCGCUCUGCGAUGUUACCCCAAAAGAGGACUGAAGGAUUCUUCCUUUUGUGGUAUUUUCCUCACAGUGCUCGAACAAUCUGCUAAUCAACAUUUACAUUUGAAAUGACCAGAGAAACGCAUGAUUGUAUGAUGGUUACGAAGAUUUGCUUGUUACCUGUGUGGCAGAACCUCCGCAGGCAGAAGAUCUGUCGCUUCGCCAUCCCGAUGGCGUCUACGGACCCGCUGGGGUGGACUCGGACGGGAAUGCAUGCCCGCAUGGCAGGGAGCGACCCCUUGAUCUGACGGUUGGCACCCGUUUUUUUUCGGGCUGCCGCAUAGCGCCACGGAGCAGGCAGGCUGUGUGGCAGGGCAGCGGGCGCCAGGCGCUGGUCCAGCUAGGAUGAAGCACACGGCAAGAACGGGAGGGGAGAGAGAAGCCCGUCCUUCCGCCAGGGGAACGGGAGCCGGGAGUGGAAACUGUCGGAGUGCCAGAACAUGUGUCGACUUGGCACCAGAUGAGAGUGUCUUGGCAAGCGCCCCGCUCCCCCCGUGCCCUGCUUGGAACACAUGGCACGUCGGGCGGCAUCUGGCCACGCUGACUCUCAGCAGCUGCGCUUUAUCUUCGCCAGUUGGGACACUUGGCACUGCCACUUCAUCAACUACCUGUGGCUCUCCCGGCUGGGCAGGGGGGCGAUGAAUAAUUCUGUACUGCAGCUGCAAACUUGACAUCUUUCCAAGAGAUACAGUACGGUAAACACGGGGGCUGUCUCGUGCCACCCGUGUGUUUAACAAGCUGCCGCUAUUGCUGUUAGCCGCCGCCGCUGUUAGUUGGCAUCGCCGUGCGUGCUGUCGUCGUUUUUGAGGUUGCCGUCGCUGUUAGACGAUACUAUCACUGUUAACCAGUGCUGUUAGAUAUUGCCGUUUCUGCUAGCUGCCGCUACCCCCGAUUGCUGUUUUACGAUAGCUGGUGCUAAAGCCAUUAGCUGGUGUUUUUGCUCUUAGCUAACGCUACUUCUGUUAGCUUGUGCAGCUACUGGAUACCGGUUUAGUUGCUGCCUGGCACUGCCAAGGUUGCAUCAAACGGAAGCCUCAUUCACGCAGUCUUUUGUUGGAUGAUUUGCAUAUGGGACUACUCUACAGUCAACUGCGAUGACGGCUUCAAUAAUGCUUUGAAAUGGAUAUGAUUUUCUAAAAAGGGGUGAUAUCUUCACAAUUUUAUCCAUGUGGAAAAUGCUUUUUUUUUGCUCUUUCAAAAACAAAAACAGCAGUUGGUUUGAAAUGUAAUUCAAGCCUGAGGGACUUUUUAAAAAUAUAUUAUUUGCUACAUUUGGAGUACAACGAUUUCACACCUUUCUUUCCAGCAGAGGUCUUGCAGAGUCUGAAAUACGCUUCGCGAUGCUUGGACUAGGACUGCUCUGCAUUCUUGACGGGACUUGAACGGGACUUCAGUGAUGCAUAAUGUAACCCAUCUGUGCGAAAACCUGUGAUUUUUACACCACACUGUUAAUUAAAAUAUCUGCUGUUAGAGUCCCAAAUGCUGCCUUUCUGGGAGAACUCCCAAAGCCUGCAAUUUGCCAAGCCUGGGUGUGCACUUUUCCUAAGGUGGUUAUAAAACAUACAUUAGCCUCAAAGGAUACAAUUUGCUUAUGAAGAUAUUGUCUGUCAGAUGAGCCUGAUUUUUCUUUCAAAAGGACCUGAACGCAGAGUUCUGCAUAAGUCACCUGCAUGGUUCCUGGCACACAACAUGGAAAUUCACGGAUGCCGCAGAAAGUGGAUUCCAUGAUUUAUCUUUUUUUUUCUUCUUUUAAAUUCUGGACCCUUGGCUAGACUUGCAGUAAUGCUUCUGUGACUUAAUUAGGCCUGAUGUUUUUUUUUUUGUUUUUUUUUUACAAUAAAACAGAUUUUUGUAGGCAAACAGAUGAUUGCAGUGAAGAUUUAGAGAAGCUUUUUUUCCAGCAAAGAGUGACCCAUUGGGAGUUGGUUCCAUCUGUGGCAGGCUGACCCAGUUUAGCCCACGGCCACGUCCAACUGUUCCGUGUCCCGAACAUAUGUGCGCUGGCGGGGGGAUAAGCGAUCAUCGCCGCGCGGGACUGGGAAACACAUAUUGCCGAUGUGACACCGGACCCGCAGUGUGGCUGCGCUCUUCCCUCGGAGAACGUCGAGAACGCCCCCGGAUUCACACCUCAGAGGUAGACGUGUGGGAGGAAAAUUCUGGCGUGUUCCUGGUAGGGCUGUGGAGGAACGCCGCUCGCUGCUGCCAACAGGGUUUUGCAGGUGCUGUGUUUUUUUUGGUUUAUUUUUGGCCCCGUUGAUCGAGGGGGAGGGGACCAGCUGCUGCCCUGAACGACUUACGACAAAGAACCAGAGCAGGAUACCGCCGACCUUUCAUUGUUGGAGUGCUGAAGAGCGUCGACUGCUGGCAGGGUUUCCUCGACACCCCGUUUUGGACGGGGAAUGGAUGCAGCCGCGUCCACUGGGGCCAAGGGCCGUGUGGUGGCCAUAUGGAUGCCGCGUUAUUAAUGAGUGAGGAACGGCGACGAGGCGAGCCCCUGGCGCCCAUGUUUGCCGACUUUAUGGUAUCUCUGAGCCCGCUUCUAAGCGCUGUCUACCCCAAGCAGAGUGGCCGGGGCUACCACAAUGCCCCAAGGCAGAGGCUGACUGUCCCUGCAAAGAUGGCCUCUCUCCUAUUGGUCCCGACCUACAAGGGAUGUACAGCCUGCUCUGCUGGUUACUUGAGGUCUAAAGACGGCCCAGCGUGGUUUGUUUUCAUUCUCCCCGCGAUGAAUUAUUGAACUCGUGUCCUUAAUCUUCCGCAGAGACGUACAAAGUGGAUUGGAGAUGACAGAAAAUCUAGACCAAACGAACUGAGCAGCGCCGGCUUUUUAACAAAUAGCACAUUACUGCAGGCUCCCAGAAGAUUAGAUCUUGGAAACGUUUCAGACUUUAAUUCUUUUUAAUCGUCUUGUAUUGCAUCCAGAUGUUCGUUUUGAUGCUUUAAUAUAAUCCAUCCUUUCUGUUACGAAAUGUGUUCGGUGGCGGGGCAAACUCAUUAGGCGUCCGCCAAAGCCACACGUUGCGAUGCACGCGUUUUGUUUACCGGGACCUCGUGCUGCAUGUGAUCGUGUUAUUCUGAACAAUCAGAGAGUGGUGCGGGGAAUUGGCGUCUCCGGCAUCAAAAUAAAGCAGCCAGACCCCGUA